rnacentral:rRNA from 1 species
AUUGAACGCUGGCGGAAUGCUUUACACAUGCAAGUCGAACGGUAGAGGGGGCAACCCCUUGAGAGUGGCGAACGGGUGAGUAAUAUAUCGGAACGUGCCCAGUCGUGGGGAUAACGUAGCGAAAGUUACGCUAAUACCGCAUACGAUCUACGGAUGAAAGCGGGGGACUCGCAAGAGCCUCGCGCGAUUGGAGCGGCCGAUAUCAGAUUAGGUAGUUGGUGGGGUAAAGGCUCACCAAGCCAACGAUCUGUAGCUGGUCUGAGAGGACGACCAGCCACACUGGAACUGAGACACGGUCCAGACUCCUACGGGAGGCAGCAGUGGGGAAUUUUGGACAAUGGACGCAAGUCUGAUCCAGCCAUUCCGCGUGCAGGAUGAAGGCCCUCGGGUUGUAAACUGCUUUUGUACGGAACGAAACGGUGAGCUCUAAUACAGUUUGCUAAUGACGGUACCGUAAGAAUAAGCACCGGCUAACUACGUGCCAGCAGCCGCGGU